AAAUAGUUUAAUUUUUAUUUUUAUUUUCUUUCAUUUCUCUUUGUUCUCCGUACGAAGAAAACAAAGUAGUCUCAGAUUCAAUCUGCUUGGCUUUCCUCAAAUUCUCAGAUUUGAUCUCUAGCCACUGUCGAUUGAAGCUUCACCACCACACUCUUUUUGAAACCGUCGCUCAUCACCACCAUCUCCAUCCCUCUCAUCCGCCAUCUCUCUCUCUCUCUGAUUUUGUUUUGAUUUUACAGGAAGGUGGGUCGUGAGCAACUAGAGAUUUCCGCCUCGCCGCUGCUAGGAUGCUAUAGUCACUGCCAACACCUCACUCUCAUUCUCUCCCUUCUCCGGUGGUGGCGUCAAUUCGAGCUCGAUGAUUGUUCUCAAGAAAGAAGAUGAAUUCGCGUUACCAUACUCACUCCUCCUUCCUCAAGCUUCCUCAUUUCUUCAGGCCAAAGUGGGUGAGUUGAUUUGGGAUAGCCUUGCAAAUAACGUCAUUGAAGAGCUCCAUGCAUCACUCUGCAAAGAUGGAUUGCUGAAAGAUUGCAAGAGUCUGUAAAAUCUUUCUCUGCAUAACAAUCCAUUUCAAUGGAUGAGUUUCAGCUGCAAUGGUGUAAAUGUAUAUAGAUAGAAGGGCUGGACCUUGAAGACUGUCCUGAAAAAGAGCCUCUUGGUCAUGGGUUCUAUGCAUACUUCACUAUAGCAACAAGGAUAACAUUACCAGAUUUCAUCACCGAGUUUAUCUGUUGUAUUUUGCAAUGAGUUCCUGUGUUUCAUGGAUUGAUUUUGUGUGUUUUGAAUCUUUAAUGAAAAAACUUAAGGUAUUCUAUGCUUUAGUUGUGUUUUAUUAGAGUAAAUUUUAUUUAUUAAUCUUAAAUAUACCCUAAAAAGGAUAAAAAUGAUAAUUUGAGUUUUGAUAAAAAAAAUAUUUUUAUAUAUAAUAUUUUUAGAGGUGUAUAUCCUAAACACUAAACCCCAAAACUUAAUUCCAAACCUUAUAUCAAAUUUCAAACCAUAAACCCAAAAUUUAACCUCAAAUCAAAUCCAAAAUCUAAUCAUAAAUCUAAAUUCUAAACCUCAAACACUAAAUCUUAAAAAUUUGAUUUAUAAAGAACAUUUUUUUAUGAUUGUUCAAUAAAUUUGAAAUAUCAUAAUAAAAUAAAGAUUAUGUUAUAUCAAAUCUCUACAUCACAUCAAAAUUAUAUUUAUUGGUGAUUUACUUGUGUUAUUACAGUGAAUUAUAUUUAUUAAUGAUUUUAAAAGCAACAAAAAAAACUUUUUUUAUCUUAAUAUGAUAAAGAGAAAAUCCAACACUAAUAAUAAAUUAGAAAAAACAAAAAAAUUACCUUAAGUUCUAAACCCUAAACAUGCCCUAAACCCUAACUACAUAUUUCAAAUCCUAUAUCUUGAAUUUCAUUUUAUACGUAUAUCUUCAACUUUAAACAUUUUAAUCCAAACACUCAGAUUAUAUAUCAUACAGAAAUAUUCAAGUUUAAACAUUAUAAUACAAAACCUACAUAUAUCCAUAGCCCUACUUAUACUCCAAACCCUAUAUCAUAUUUCAAACUCUAUACAAAAAGUAUUAAAUCAUAACAUUUUAAAUUUAUAACACCUUUUUAUACUAAAUUAUGAAGUUAUACAAACUAUAAAAUCUAAAUAAAAUCAAUAUAUUCAUAAUAUAACUUCAAUCUCUAAACUCCAAACCACAUACCUCAUAUUGACUUAUAUCACAUAAAACAUUAAAUCUUAAUUUUUAAUCAAUCACACAAUUUGAAAAUUUAAAUACAAAAUACGGAUUAAAAGUUUUAAAUUAUGAUAUCAAAUUAUUUAAAGUUUAAAUAAUUUUACAAUAAUUAUAAAUAAAAAAGAAGAUAAAUUGUACUAUUUUUUUUUGAGCCAUUGAUUGAUUUUUAAAUCAAAGGUCCAAAAUCAAUCUCCUAUCUAUCUUCACCUUUGUUUUCUAUUGAUUAUGCGCGGAUCACCCUCUGCACCGUUAGAUCAUACUGAAUCAACGCUUGAGAUUUGUUUUUUUUUUUCCAAUUAUUUUCUGAGAACAGAUCGCGUUCGAGAGAGACAGAGGUCAAAAAAAAAGAGAAAGAGGCGACUGGGUAAGCUGUGCUCGAAGCCCUAGCAAACCUCGGCCUCCUUCUCUUCUUCUUUCUCGUCGGCCUCCUUCUAUUCUUCUUCCUCGUCAGCCUCCUUAUCUUCUUCUCUUCUUCUUUCUCUAAACUCUCUGAUUUUCGAUAUAUCUCUUCAUAUUCAUGCUAAGAACUGAUAGAUCUGUGUUGUGGUUGUCGAAAUCUGAUAGAUUAAGGUUCUCUGAUUUUGUACUGUGUUUAAACUCUUCAUAUACUUGCUGUCGAUUUGCUGUUAAAAAAAAAUCUGAUUUGUUUUGACGAUUUGGAUCUGAUUAUAAUUGAGGACGAUCGAUCUGUUUCUAUUGUGUUGAAUCUGAUUUUUUUUUUCUAUUUUGGUUAUUGAAUCUAAGUCUGAGACUAAAAUCGAAAUUUUGAACAAGUCUGAUUUGAUUAAUCUGUUCUGUAUUGCUCAAGUUUUGAUUUAUACUUGUCUUUGGUUGAAUUCGAAAUUGAUCUGAGAAGUGUGGAUUUGAUUUUCGUUUUGAUCUGUUUCUGUUAAAGUCUAAGAUUGAUCGCUUCUUUUCUAUUGUUUCUGUUUCUGAUUAUCAACUUGUUUCUGAUUAUCAAUCUGAUUUAUUAAGAUUUGAAUUUCGUUUCGAGUCUGUCUCUGUUGGCAAGUUGAUUGUUUGUUUUCUUUUGAACUUCUUACUGCUGUGUGUUGCUGUAUGAUCCCUACUUCGCAGUCACAUCCACAGGAAAACUUGCUUUUUGUUGCUCAAGAAAAUCUGAAAGUCUGGUUUUGGAUUCAGCGCCUUGUACAAGUAAUGGCCAGAACAGAAGCUUGUGAAGGAUGGUUUCAUCAUCAGGAAGCCAACCAAAAUCCACUGUCCUGAAGAAAUACCGAGAGUCAAAGAAGAUUGACAAGUACAUGUACCAUCAUGGUACUACCAUGUAUCGAACAUACAAGGCGACAGAGAAACUCUGAUGUAUGCUGCAGAGGACUCGAUAGGAGGCUUAGUUUAGCUUUAGGUUAAUUAUGUUUUGGCUAAUUUUGUUUUGGUUUAAUGUUUUAAUUUGUUUAUGGUUUAAUUUGUUCUUUAGUUAUUUGUAUACUGAUUUCAAUUAAUAAAUAAAAUUUUGAUUUUAAA